GACGAACGCUGGCGGCGUGCUUAACACAUGCAAGUCGAACGGAAAGGCCCCUUUUGGGGUACUCUAGUGGCGAACGGUUGAGUAACACUUGAGUAACCUGCCCUUUACUUCGUUAUAUCUUCAGUCAACUGGGUCUAAUACCGGUUAGGAAUCCUUUCUUCAUGGUGGGUGUUUGAAAGCUUCUGCGGUUUUGGAUGGACUCACGGCUUAUCAGCUUGUUGGUGGUGUAGUUGCUUACCAAGGCUUUGACCGGUAGCCGGACUUAGAGGGCGACCGGCCACAUUGGGACUGAGAUACGGCCAAGACUCCUACGGGAGGCAGCAGUGGGGAAUAAUGCACAAUGGGCGGAAGCCUGAUGCAGCAAAGCCGCGUGCGGGAUGACGGCCUUCGGGUUGUAAACCGCUUGCAGCAGGGGAGAAGCUUGUGGUGACGGUACCUGCAGAAGAAGCACCGGCUAACUACGUG
rnacentral:rRNA from 1 species